CCUACGGGUGGCAGCAGUGAGGAAUAUUGGUCAAUGGACGAGAGUCUGAACCAGCCAAGUAGCGUGAAGGAUGACUGCCCUAUGGGUUGUAAACUUCUUUUAUAAAGGAAUAAAACGAGGCACGUGUGCCUUUUUGCAUGUACUUUAUGAAUAAGGAUCGGCUAACUCCGUGCCAGCAGCCGCGGUAAUACGGAGGAUCCGAGCGUUAUCCGGAUUUAUUGGGUUUAAAGGGAGCGUAGAUGGGUUGUUAAGUCAGUUGUGAAAGGUUGCGGCUCAACCGUAAAAUUGCAAUUGAUACUGGCAGUCUUGAGUACAGUUGAGGUAGGCGGAAUGCGUGGUGUAGCGGUGAAAUGCUUAGAUAUCACGAAGAACCCCGAUUGCGAAGGCAGCUUACUAAACUGUGACUGACAUUGAUGCUCGAAAGUGUGGGUAUCAAACAGGAUUAGAUACCCUUGUAGUC
rnacentral:rRNA from 1 species